GGGUUCGCUCCUUAAUAAUCCAGCAAGAGAAAGCCCAGGAUCGGGAAAAACUACUUUUAAAGUUUAUCAAAAUAAUGAAGCACUUAAGAAAACUCAAUAACUUCAACUCCUACUUGGCAAUAUUAUCAGCGCUGGAUUCGGCGCCUAUCAGAAGACUGGAAUGGCAGAAGCAAACAUCGGAGGGUUUGGAGGAAUAUUGCACUUUAAUUGACAGUUCCUCCUCCUUCCGGGCGUACAGAGCAGCUUUGGCAGAUGUGGAGCCUCCAUGUAUACC